rnacentral:rRNA from 1 species
CAGCCGCCGCGGUAAUACGAAGGGGGCUAGCGUUGCUCGGAAUGACUGGGCGUAAAGGGCGCGUAGGCGGUCACGAUAGUCAGAUGUGAAAUUCCUGGGCUUAACCUGGGGACUGCAUUUGAUACUGUGUGGCUUGAGUGUGGAAGAGGGUCGUGGAAUUCCCAGUGUAGAGGUGAAAUUCGUAGAUAUUGGGAAGAACACCGGUGGCGAAGGCGGCGACCUGGUCCAUAACUGACGCUGAGGCGCGAAAGCGUGGGGAGCAAACAGGAUUAGAUACCCCAGUAGUCCCUGUCUCUUAUAA